CAUCCUCUACGCCGUCGCUAUCGCCCCUUUCUUUUCGACUCAUUUUUUCGGUGAUGCCGUUCGCCCCACACUCCCCUGCAGCGGUGGAGGGUCGUUCCCCCCUUGACAGGGAUCGUUUACGCUCUGUGGGUGGAUUUUCGGAGUUGUACGAUUCCUCCAAAUCGGCCGUCGCCGAUGCCUUUUCCGUUUAUGAUUUAUCUGGAUCUACUACCGUGGACACUAAUCCCAUGGUGCUCCAUGGAUACGCCCCUGAUUCGGAGCCGGAGGUUGAUUCCAGUGUUGCCCUUGUUCGAGCCAGCCGAUCGCUGUUUCGGAUACCUUUUUCGUCGACCCAGGGUAGGAUUGAAGUGGCUCCAUUGAGUUGCUCUUCUAUCCGUGGAAUUGUCAUCGAUAUGCUUCGUAUAUAAUGCCCUCUCGCCGUCGAGCCACAGGAGUACUGUGUUGGAGGCGAAAUUGAAAAUCAUUUGGGGUCAAUGAUUUACUAUCCUACAUGUUGGAUGGUAUAAUCUCUACAGGUGAGGUAAAAAUCGAUAUACUUGUUGCGAAAAAUUGUAGCUUACUUGAUUGUCCCUGAUUAUGUGUGUGUGCAAAAUUUGUGUGGCAAGUCAUUGUUGGUUUUGGGUAUGAAUAGCUUGAGAUGAUGAAAAUUUUAAGCCACUAGUGAUUUGAAUCAGUAGGUGGUUCACUGUUGCAUAAAAAUGAGCUUUUGGAGACUUAUACCUAGUAUAAAAUCAUCGCUUGUCCAACGUGAGCACGAUCCUUUACUUGAUUCAAUACAUUUCUUAACAAUGUAUUGAAUUCAGGCAUUCAAUGAUCUAUACAUUGAGAGAAUGCUUUAACAUUGUCCCUUGUACUCGAUGAUGAUUUUAUAAUCUGAGAGUGAAAGUCCCGUCUCCCUAAAUUACCUCAUUGAUCAGGACCAAAAUUCAAACAAAAUAGCCUGAAAAAAUUUACUGCUAUGCACUCGGUGAUGAUUUUAUAAUCUGAGAGUGUUAAAGGUUCCUGUACAAAACAUAACAAUGUAGCACAACUGUAACUGAAUUUAAAGAGAUUACAUUACAACUGCAAAGUGCUGUUUCAAUAUAGCAUUUUGUGAGUUGUAAUGAAACUCAUAUACAAAAGGGAAAGUAGUUACAAAAACUUUCCUAUGGCUACUAAUUACAAAAGAUAUUAAUAUUUACAAAUGAGGAAAUACCUCUGUUCUUCAAAUCAGUUCCUCGAUGGCAGUCAUUAGUUCUUCGAAACAUUCUGCUUCAUUUGCUUCUAUUAAUGUAUCAAUGGAUGCCUUGAUCAACUCCCGGUCAAUCUCUAGGUUUGUGGGAAGUGUAUUGUUUCUUAUCAUCGCAGAUUUACCAAUAUGAGGAAUCUUGUAGUUGUUGCCCCCAUUGCAUGCCAUUAUUUCCUUAAGACAACCUUGUAAGCUUAGGAAAACAUUGUUUAAAGUUGUGCCAGAUAGUUGGUCAAAAGAUCUAUGCACUGCCUAUAAAAGUUCAUCUAUGUUUGAUGCUAUGGUUGAAACUUGUAGUAAUUGUAGUGCUCGAAACCACCCCAAAUCAUUUAUAUUUGUGUCAGGAUUGUUUGAUGGUUGAAAAGUAAGAUGGAUAUCAAAUCCAUCACUGCCUGCAGCUUUCCUAAAGUCCGGAUCGUUGUCAUCAAUGUGUGGUUUGGCAUUGUUUUGUUGUAUUAAAAUGCUUUUGCUUGCUCUUGCUGGCCAUUUCGCUUUAAUCAAUGGAAGUAACUGCAUAUAUUUGGAAAUGCAUUAAUGUGAAACUCAUACUCAUCUAUAUUCAUAUGUAAAAGUGGUAAUACCUUGUUGAUUAUUAGUGCCUUGGUGACUUCCUUUGUGAUUGAAUCCAUUGGCUUCGUUUCUAAGGUGCCAGCAGGUCGGUUUUUUGAUUUAUUUCGGGCUGGAACUUGUCUUGUGAAAGGAAAAAUACCUAUUUUUUCAUAAUAAAUACAUUGCACUUCUUUUCCAUAUAAGGGUGUGCUCACAGCACAUAGGAACAUUACCUUUGUAAUAAACCUUUUGCUUUGGCAGACCCUAUAAGGAUCAAACUCGUCAGGGGUGAGAUAAUAUUUUUUAGUGUUACGAGUAAUAUAAAACCAUUUUUCGUCUAUGUGUAGAACAUUAGACAUGCUCUUAAACUUGAUGACACUCAUAUCCUGGCCCACUUCGACAUGAUUCAGACUAAAUCUCAGUCUGCUGAUUCUGUUGGUUGUUGUCAAUGCUGGUUUUAUGGCAUUACUAUGGUGCCUGAUCAGACCAUUUUUGGCCCACCUUCCGACAGUGGACUUGCUAACACAUAUUUCAUGUGCCACGCUAUGAUAACUGCCUCGCUUACUGUACGGAAUUUUUUGCAUGGCUGAGUUGUCGAGAAUGUGUUUCUUUUCACGCCCUUUACCUAUUUUAUGGCUGUUUAAAUUGAUUGGCAUACCUGUCUUGCUGUUGCAUGGCUCUUUUCCAUAUUCUACGUACUACAUUGCGUGAAAUGCCGAAUUUGAUUGCUGCUUCAUUGAUCUUUCCAUGUGCGGGCCUUCGAUUCUUGUUGUUUUCUAACAAAAAUUGCGCUAUACUGUUGAGUUCCUCGCUCGUUAGAUUCUUCGUUCUCUUCAUUUGAGGUGAAAAAUUGAGAGAUGAAUGUAAUUGUUUACUGCACUGUCCGUGGCCACUAUAUGUUUGUGAAAAAUUUGUGUAUUUACAUCAUUUAAGUGUAUUAUUGUCUAUUUAUAUUAAUUAUGUAUUAAACAACUAUAUAU